UACGUAGGUGGCAAGCGUUGUCCGGAAUUAUUGGGCGUAAAGCGCGCGCAGGCGGUCCUUUAAGUCUGAUGUGAAAGCCCACGGCUCAACCGUGGAACUGCGUCUGAUACUGGAUGGCUUGAGGUUGGGAGAGGGAUGCGGAAUUCCAGGUGUAGCGGUGAAAUGCGUAGAUAUCUGGAGGAACACCGGUGGCGAAGGCGGCAUCCUGGACCAAUUCUGACGCUGAGGAGCGAAAAGCCAGGGGGGCAAACGGG
rnacentral:rRNA from 1 species